UAUCCGGAAGUACCCGACAGUUUUUCAAACUCUUAAAACGCGGGACAUUUUGAAACGCUGAAAGUGACUAAGUGAUAUCAGAAACUGUUUUUAUAGUGAAUUCAGUAGCUGUUCACUUUAUUGAUUAUGAAUAUGAACGCAGCAUGAUAACGUUAAAUCGCAAGGUAGGCGCUUUCACCCUUUUAUAUUCUCCUGUACAUAUAUUUUUUAAAAGUUCUCAGAAUUUGGUCCUCCAUUGUCACUAAUGUGUUGAAUGUUUUGUAAUGGUUUUCUAUGGGAAAUCGCUCAAUCUGACUUGCAAUUAAAAAGCGCUGCAUUCACAUUCUGGACGCAUUUGCUCGCGUACAUCUAUAUUAUGCACGUGUAAGUGCAUAUUUUUGUCUUAUAAGUAAUAAUAAUUGUAAUAAUCUUUGUGUUCUAAUUAGGAAUGAAACGCACAUCUUGAGGCCUGAGACUGAGUAAACUGUCAUUACAUAUGGGAUCGUUGAUGAUGAAAACUGCAUCCAUCCUGGACAGUUACACUGCUACUGUAAUAUGAUGCAGCUAAGACAAAGUCGUGUGGAAAGACUGGAGAUCUACAGCAGAUAAACAUGACAAUUCAGAUCUUGGACUCCAAAAGUGAUUUGCAGAAGACAUCUUGGAAUGCAUGGGGGUG